UAAACAAUCUCAAAAGGUGAAAAAACAGUAGAAGAAUGCACACUUCAGUUUUAUGCAAAUUUAACAAAUGGUGUACAUUUUUCCUAUGAUUUCAAAUUCUUUUUAACAAUAGCACGCAAAAGAGUCGUGAAAGUUCUAUUAAUUACUUCAGUUUGUCCAUCAGUUUGUGGGUGACAUAUAGUAGAAAAUAGCAGUUUAGUACCCAACUUACCCCACAAUACUUUCCAAAAGUAAUUUAGGAACUUAAUAUCUCUAUCACUAAAAUUCUCCUAGGGAUGCUAUGCAACCUCACAA
rnacentral:misc_RNA from 1 species